UGGGGGAUAUUGCACAAUGGGGGAAACCCUGAUGCAGCGACGCCGCGUGGGCGAAGAAGUAUUUCGGUAUGUAAAGCCCUAUCAGCAGGGAAGAAGAAAUGACGGUACCUGAGUAAGAAGCACCGGCUAAAUACGUGCCAGCAGCCGCGGUAAUACGUAUGGUGCAAGCGUUAUCCGGAUUUACUGGGUGUAAAGGGAGCGCAGGCGGCACGGCAAGCCUGAUGUGAAAGCCCGCGGCCCAACCGCGGGACUGCAUUGGGAACUACCGGGCUGGAGUGCCGGAGAGGUAGGCGGAAUUCCUAGUGUAGCGGUGAAAUGCGUAGAUAUUAGGAGGAACACCAGUGGCGAAGGCGGCCUACUGGACGGUGACUGACGCUGAGGCUCGAAAGCGUGGGGAGCAAACAGG
rnacentral:rRNA from 1 species